rnacentral:tmRNA from 1 species
GGGGGCGUAUUGGUUUCGACGGGGGUAACCGGAGGAAGAGAAGCGGGUCGUGGGGUCCGGGACCACGUUAAAACCUGGAGAAAAAAUAAACGACAACAAUAGAGUAGCUUUAGCUGCCUAAUUAACAGGUAGCCGUCCAACCAUCAAUUCCCGCAUUGAUGGAUUGGGCGUCGACUUAGCGGGGAACGGGUUCUCCAAAGCUUUGAGGAGAAUCGGCAUUUAUGAAGCUAGCUGAGAGCGUAUCCUGUUGCUGGGAGACGCUUGAGGCGAAUUUCAAAACAGCAACUGCACCCGGAGAUGCUCUUGUUUCGGUACCUUCGGACCGGGGUUCGAUUCCCCGCGCCUCCAAUA